CACGGGGGGAGCAAGCGUUGUUCGGAAUCACUGGGCGUAAAGCGCGUGUAGGCGGCCAAGUAAGUGGGAUGUGAAAUCCCCCGGCUUACCCGGGGACCUGCAUCUCAUACUGCUUGGCUUGAGUAUGGGAGAGGAUGAGGGAAUUCCUGGUGUAGCGGUGAAAUGCGCAGAUAUCAGGAAGAACACCAAUGGCGAAAGCAGCUUUCUGGGACGGUACUGACGCUGAGACGCGAAAGCGUGGGGAGCGAACAGG
rnacentral:rRNA from 1 species